CCCUACACAAAAGAGUGGCACACAAUGACAAGUACAGUACAUGGCUUAUCCACUAGACACCAAGGUCAGAGUGUUGCAUUGUUAUCUGUAAGAUCACAAUUGACAAGUGAAUCUCAUCUUGGUGCAUUGGCUAGCUCAAUGGAAGCAGCAUUCGCAGCCAUGGCUGCCCACACUAUUCUCUCAUUCCAAGAACCUCUCUUUUCUUCCUUCCCACCUCCUCAAUCCAUAACCCUUCCUGCCAAUACCCAGAAAGCUGUUGCUGUCCUCAAGGGCAAUUCCACCGCGGAAGGCAUUGUCACACUAACCCAACAAGACAACGGUCCAACAACUGUUAAUGUUCGUGUCUCUGGUCUUACUCCAGGGCCUCAUGGUUUUCACCUGCAUGAGUUCGGUGAUUUAACAAAAGGGUGUAUUUCGACUGGGGCACAUUUCAAUCCUGAUCAGCUGAAACAUGGUGCUCCUAAAGAUAAAAUACGCCAUGCGGGUGACCUGGGAAACAUAGUUGCUAAUGCCGAUGACAGGGGUUGCAGAAGCAACAAUUGUGGACAAUCAGAUACCACUCUUUGGCCCAAAUUCAGUAGUUGGAAGAGCCUUAGUGGUUCAUGAGCUUGAGGAUGACCUUGGAAAGGGUUAGCAAUACCUUUUGAACAUUAAUUUAUAUUUGCCUUACAACUCUAUUGUAGAGGAAAUAAUUGUGACAAGCUUCAGCAGUUUUGUGUUCGCUAAGUAAAACAUUAGAUGAAUGUGUGGUGAAGAAUAUCAUGACAUAAGUAUGAGAUUGACUUUCCCUCUUCAAGUUAUUGUUUUGUAUGUCACCCUUGUAUGUUAAGUUUCAUUUGUGUUCAUUGCUGGAGCAUUUUUACUUGUCUCAUUUGUCUUUGUAGGUGGCCAGGAACUUAGUUUGAGCACUGGAAAUGCUGGUGGAAGAUUGGCAUGUGGCGUGGUUGGUUUGACUCCAGUGUAAAUGCAACUAAUGUUUUUGUAGUGGUUGUGUUUUAUCUGUUGUUUGCUUUCAUAAAUUUAUCCAUGUAAACUCUGAAGCAUGAUGUCCUUGUGAGGAUGAAUGCAAAAUGAAAUUGUGAUGAGAUAUGCGGUACCAGAGAUUCAUCUCAAUAAAAUUAUAAUCACAUGGAAGUUC